CGGUUUUCCAUGCAUUUUGGCGGAUUUUGAUUUUGAAAUGACGUUUUGACACUAGCAAUCUGGCAACCCUGGUAAAGGCGCAAGAAACGGCAGUUUGGAGAUUUGCUGCAGCAGCAUGUUUGAGUGUCAUCAAAGACAGAAAAGAAGUGACUGCAAAGUAACGACUCGGAGAGGUUAACAUUGCCUCCGCUAUAGGAAGCUGAUGUGCUCCGUUCGCACCCAGCAUGUACUGAGUUACUCUGGAAGCAACGUCUGGAUUAUCCU